rnacentral:rRNA from 1 species
GAUGAACGCUGGCGGCGUACCUAAUACAUGCAAGUCGAGCGAAUGGAUUAAGAGCUUGCUCUUAUGAAGUUAGCGGCGGACGGGUGAGUAACACGUGGGUAACCUGCCCAUAAGACUGGGAUAACUCCGGGAAACCGGGGCUAAUACCGGAUAACAUUUUGAACCGCAUGGUUCGAAAUUGAAAGGCGGCUUCGGCUGUCACUUAUGGAUGGACCCGCGUCGCAUUAGCUAGUUGGUGAGGUAACGGCUCACCGAGGCAACGAUGCGUAGCCGACCUGCGAGGGUGAUCGGCCACACUGGGACUGAGACACGGCCCAGACUCCUACGGGGGGCAGCAGUAGGGAAUCUUCCGCAAUGGACGAAAGUCUGACGGAGCAACGCCGCGUGAGUGAUGAAGGCUUUCGGGUCGUAAAACUCUGUUGUUAGGGAAGAACAAGUGCUAGUUGAAUAAGCUGGCACCUUGACGGUACCUAACCAGAAAGCCACGGCUAACUACGUGCCAGCCGCCGCAGUAA